GACGAACGCUGGCGGCGUGCCUAAUACAUGCAAGUAGAACGCUGAAGAGAGGGGCUUGCUCUUCUUGGAUGAGUUGCGAACGGGUGAGUAACGCGUAGGUAACCUGCCUUGUAGCGGGGGAUAACUAUUGGAAACGAUAGCUAAUACCGCAUAACAAUAGGUGACACAUGUCAUUUAUUUGAAAGGGGCAAUUGCUCCACUACAAGAUGGACCUGCGUUGUAUUAGCUAGUAGGUGAGGUAACGGCUCACCUAGGCGACGAUACAUAGCCGACCUGAGAGGGUGAUCGGCCACACUGGGACUGAGACACGGCCCAGACUCCUACGGGAGGCAGCAGUAGGGAAUCUUCGGCAAUGGGGGCAACCCUGACCGAGCAACGCCGCGUGAGUGAAGAAGGUUUUCGGAUCGUAAAGCUCUGUUGUAAGUCAAGAACGAGUGUGAGAGUGGAAAGUUCACACUGUGACGGUAGCUUACCAGAAAGGGACGGCUAACUACGUG
rnacentral:rRNA from 1 species